rnacentral:rRNA from 1 species
AAUGGAGGAAACUCUGAUGCAGCGAUGCCGCGUGAGUGAAGAAGGCCCUUGGGUUGUAAAGCUCUUUUGUCAGGAAAGAUAAUGACUGUACCUGAAGAAUAAGGUCCGGCUAACUUCGUGCCAGCAGCCGCGGUAAUACGAAGGGACCUAGCGUAAUUCGGAAUUACUGGGCGUAAAGCGCGCGUAGGCGGUUAAGUAAGUUAAUUGUGAAAGCCCAAAGCUCAACUUUGGAAUUGCAAUUAAAACUACUUAGCUAGAGUUUAUCAGAGGAAAGCGGAAUACAUAGUGUAGAGGUGAAAUUCGUAGAUAUUAUGUAGAACACCAGUUGCGAAGGCGGCUUUCUGGGAUAACACUGACGCUGAGGUGCGAAAGUAUGGGUAGCGAAGAGGAUU